rnacentral:rRNA from 1 species
UAGCUAGUUGGGUGGGGGUAAAGGCCUACCAAGGCGACGAUCUGUAGCGGGUCUGAGAGGAUGAUCCGCCACACUGGGACUGAGACACGGCCCAGACUNCCUACGGGAGGCAGCAGUGGGGAAUAUUGGACAAUGGGGGGAACCCUGAUCCAGCCAUGCCGCGUGUGUGAAGAAGGCCUUAUGGUUGUAAAGCACUUUAAGCGAGGAGGAGGCUACUUUAGUUAAUACCUAGAGAUAGUGGACGUUACUCGCAGAAUAAGCACCGGCUAACUCUGUGCCAGCAGCCGCGGUAAUACAGAGGGUGCGAGCGUUAAUCGGAUUUACUGGGCGUAAAGCGUGCGUAGGCGGCUUAUUAAGUCGGAUGUGAAAUCCCCGAGCUUAACUUGGGAAUUGCAUUCGAUACUGGUGAGCUAGAGUAUGGGAGAGGAUGGUAGAAUUCCAGGUGUAGCGGUGAAAUGCGUAGAGAUCUGGAGGAAUACCGAUGGCGAAGGCAGCCAUCUGGCCUAANACUGACGCUGAGGUACGAAAGCAUGGGGAGCAAACAGGAUUAGACUACCCUGGUAGUCCAUGCCGUAAACGAUGUCUACU